rnacentral:rRNA from 1 species
GAUGAACGCUAGCGGCAGGCCUAAUACAUGCAAGACGAACGGUAAGUUGAGUAGCAAUACUUAGCCAAGAGUGUCGUACGGGUGCGUAACACGUAUGCAACCUACCCUAUACAGGAGGAUAGCCUAGGGAAACCUGGAUUAACCCUUCAUAGUAUUAUUGGAUGGCAUCAUUUGAUAAUUAAAACUGAGGUAGUAUAGGAUGGGCAUGCGUCUGAUUAGUUAGUUGGCGGGGUAAUGGCCCACCAAGACGAUGAUCAGUAGGGGUUCUGAGAGGAAGAUCCCCCACACUGGCACUGAGAUACGGGCCAGACUCCUACGGGAGCAGCAGUAGGGAAUAUUGGUCAAUGGAUGCAAGUCUGAACCAGCCAUGCCGCGUGCAGGAAGAAGGCCUUCUGGGUUGUAAACUGCUUUUGCCAGGGGAUAAAAUUUCCAUGCGUGGAAAACUGAAGGUACCUGGUGAAUAAGCCACGGCUAACUACGUGCCAGCAGCCGCGGUAAU